rnacentral:rRNA from 1 species
AUGAGUGAGAUCUCCCAUAUUGCAUCAUUUCAAUCUCAACAUAGUAACUAUGCAUGCCCCAUUAAAAUAAAUCCUAUCUGCACAUAUGGCAUAGAUGACGAGAUGAUGGUCAUUGGCUUUUGUUUCUCUUGCGAUGAUAUUGUUAUGCUUCCUUUGCAAAAUUUGUGCAAUUCAUCUCAUAUGCCAUACCAUGGAAAUUAUUGUGAAUCGCAGGAUUACAUCCCUUGUGUGCACCACAUGCAUACCAUUCCUCACAAUGCUCGAGAUAUUACGAGUGAUGCAUUACAUCCUUUGAAUCUCCAUUAUGCUAUACAUAACAAUAAACCUCUCAUGAUGGAUGACAUGUUUCUAUAUCAUGCAACUCAUUUAUUUGAGCAUUGGAUAUUUUGUGCUAACGAACACAAGCACGUGCGCAUCAUGAUGGAUGAUGUGUACAUCUACCACGCACACACAAUUUUCCCUUUGUUUUUGUUGUGUGUAGGUACUCACGUAUACUCGUCAACCUCUCAAUCCCAAGAGUUGACAAAACGAGCUCUUGAGAGCAACGACGAUUUGGGAUCCCGUGGAUUGUCCUUCCUACCAUUCUCUUCGCGCAACGACUACGCGCAUCUCUUCUACUUGGCUCUUACAAGGCUAUGGGCUAUAUAUCACUUGUUACUUUAUGCCCAUUGUAUCUUGUUCACUUUGCAUGUUAUGCCUCUUUACAUAAUUUUACCAUGCAAUUUUGACCCUUGCUUGCAUCUACCCAUGAUUCACCAUUAUGCUACUCCUAUGUGUAUUUGCAUGCAUGGUGGAGAUCCUUGUUGCUAUUGCCACGUUUAUCAUGUGCCUCAUGCUAUUGAUGCUUGUUGUGUUGGGAGAGUCAUGAUGUUCCAUUGCUAUUUACUUAGGACUUCUUGCCAAUAG